UACGAGAGGCGCAAACGUUAUUCGGAUUUACUGGGCUUAAAGAGUUCGUAGGCGGCGCAGAAAGUAGGGUGUGAAAGCCCUCGGCUCAACCGAGGAAUUGCGCUCUAAACUACUGUGCUUGAGGAAGGUAGAGGUGAGCGGAACUGAUGGUGGAGCGGUGAAAUGCGUUGAUAUCAUCAGGAACACCGGAGGCGAAGGCGGCUCGCUGGGGCUUAUCUGACGCUGAGGAACGAAAGCCAGGGGAGCGAACGGG
rnacentral:rRNA from 1 species